GAUGAACGCUGGCGGCGUGCCUAAUACAUGCAAGUCGAGCGAACGGACGAGAAGCUUGCUUUUCUGAUGUUAGCGGCGGACGGGUGAGUAACACGUGGAUAACCUACCUAUAAGACUGGGAUAACUUCGGGAAACCGGAGCUAAUACCGGAUAAUAUUUUGAACCGCAUGGUUCAAAAGUGAAAGACGGUCUUGCUGUCACUUAUAGAUGGAUCCGCGCUGCAUUAGCUAGUUGGUAAGGUAACGGCUUACCAAGGCAACGAUGCAUAGCCGACCUGAGAGGGUGAUCGGCCACACUGGAACUGAGACACGGUCCAGACUCCUACGGGAGGCAGCAGUAGGGAAUCUUCCGCAAUGGGCGAAAGCCUGACGGAGCAACGCCGCGUGAGUGAUGAAGGUCUUCGGAUCGUAAAACUCUGUUAUUAGGGAAGAACAUAUGUGUAAGUAACUGUGCACAUCGUGACGGUACCUAAUCAGAAAGCCACGGCUAACUACGUG
rnacentral:rRNA from 1 species